UAAUACGUAGGUGGCGAGCGUUGUCCGGAUUUACUGGGCGUAAAGAGCGCGCAGGCGGUCGUUCAAGUCGAGUGUGAAAGCCCCCGGCUCAACUGGGGAGGGUCAUUCGAUACUGAUCGACUCGAAGGCAGGAGAGGGAAGUGGAAUUCCCGGUGUAGUGGUGAAAUGCGUAGAUAUCGGGAGGAACACCAGUGGCGAAGGCGACUUCCUGGCCUGUUCUUGACGCUGAGGCGCGAAAGCUAGGGGAGCAAACGGGAUUAGAUACCCCGGUAGUCCUAGCCGUAAA
rnacentral:rRNA from 1 species